GAUGAACGCUAGCUACAGGCUUAACACAUGCAAGUCGAGGGGUAACGAGAGGAAAGCUUGCUUUCCUUGUCGACGACCGGCGCACGGGUGAGUAACGCGUAUCCAACCUGCCCCCAACUAGGGAAUAACCUUGCGAAAGUAAGACUAAUACCCUAUAAUUUCCUCAGAUGACAUCUGACGAGGAAUAAAGAUUUAUCGGUUGAGGAUGGGGAUGCGUCUGAUUAGCUUGUUGGCGGGGUAACGGCCCACCAAGGCAACGAUCAGUAGGGGUUCUGAGAGGAAGGUCCCUCACAUUGGAACUGAGACACGGUCCAAACUCCUACGGGAGGCAGCAGUGAGGAAUAUUGGUUAAUGGGCGGAAGCCUGAACCAGCCAAGUAGCGUGCAGGAUGACGGCCCUAUGGGUUGUAAACUGCUUUUAUACAGGAAUAAAGUUAGCCACGUGUGGUUAUUUGUAGGUACUGUAUGAAUAAGGACCGGCUAAUUCCGUGCCAGCCGCCGCGGUAA
rnacentral:rRNA from 1 species